rnacentral:lncRNA from 1 species
GCUCUUUUGUCGUAAAAAGCAGAGUGGUAGGGAAGAGCUUAGACCACUUCCUGAGGAAAUGCAAGAUGAGAACUCCAUUCUGCGUGACCGUUCUGGAAGAAUUUCUUUAUAAGCAGUACCAUUUCUUUUCUGGUCUGCACCUGCAGAAAUUAUUCUCCAGAGACGCGCAUUAUUUUCUGUUGUGGCUUGCAGGCUGCUCCNUGACAUUGGCUUGAUAAAUGGGCAUUUUGUGUCUGACAUCCCUUUCUUUACUCUCUAGGACAAAUCCCACUGGUCUUACCUCCAGGAAAUUGUGCAGCAGUCCCUAGAAGAUGUCCCAGGCCUCCUCCAAGAGGCUAUGGAAGAAGGCCUCCGUGAUAUCCAGUACUGCUUUGAGGUCCUUCUCCACGCAAGCCUGAGGAAGGGUGCAGAUAAGGCCAAGGAGCUCUGUGAGGACAUAACCAGAAGCUGGGGUGCUCCCGUUCACGGUUACCCGCAUUCCACAUACCGGGCAGUAUGUAAUCAUAACGGUGUCUACCCCUCUCCAAAGUACCAGUGCGUGGAUUUCAACAGCCAUCUUGCCAGGCCCAUAUUUGAGGNCAUAAGUGUGACCUGGAACGAGAUUUUCAGCUCCAGACUGGUUGACUCCAUUGAAUCCUGCACUAAAGCUCUCCUAGAGAAGCUGAAGUCCUUCUUCAGAGACCUCAAGAAGAAACUGUCNGAACAAAGCAAAAUGGCGGCGGCAAUACAGGCCAUUUGCAGCCAGCAGAUGGAGGCGGCCCGAGCGAGGGUAUUCAACUUCACCCUGGACCUCAUUGCCUUCAGCAGCGAACGGCAGCGCACGAUCUCUCGCCAUCUGACGCCAGAGAUACAGAAGCUCAUGGAACGCGCCUAC